rnacentral:piRNA from 1 species
UAUGAUAAGUAAACUCAUCAGAAGACAGAC